rnacentral:tRNA from 1 species
GGGCGAUUAGUUAAGUGGUAUAACUUCGGUCUCCAAAACCGAUGUCGGGAGUUCGAUUCUCUCAUCGCCCGCAA